CCUAGAUUAUGCAUGCGAAGGAGGUGCCUCCUGAGGUGGGCCACCUGGUCCCUGGAGGCCUGGACUGACUACCACUAGAUUCCUGGCUUUUCCAGAGACAGGGGAGCUGGGCCUGGGUCCCAGGGGCACUGCUCCCUGGGCCUGUUGGCUCCCUUUGGCUGCCUUUCCUUUGCCCAUUCAGAAACAUAGGUGUUCCCGGUCUCCACCCCAGUGGAUGCCUUUACUCAUCCCUGCAGGGCCUGCUUGGUCAGGUGCCCCCAGUGGGUGGGUGGGGAUGCCUGCUGGACCUGUUUGUCCCUGUGCAUGCCAGAGCUUCCUUGGAGACAGCUCAGGAUUCCUCCAUACCACAGCCUCACUUUAUGGAGGAAGAGCUUCUUCCUGCCUGGGCUGCCUGGUGGCAGGAACAGACGCGGCUGAGCUUGGCACUAACAUUGGCCAUCUGGGACUCCUGUUCCAGACUCUUAAGAUGUCAGUAGAGGUUCAAGCUGGAUGGGAGAGGCCUGGGGCCCAUUUGCACAAACCCGGCCUGCAGCUUUCCCUUCCAGAGUCUCCUGCGAAGACCUGCACCCCUUUAUCCCAGGGCCUCUGGGCCGCCUCUCCCCCACCAGGGCUGGUCUGAGUACCAGACUCCUUCUGCAAUUCUCCAGAGAAUCAAAACCCAGUUCCUUCUCCACCCAGUGCCACUGACCCCUGCCCAAGAGAGGACUCGUGGUGCAGGACAGCAGCCCAAAGGAGCCCCCCUGCUCUGCCCUAGCCACACUGUGCCUGUCCUGCUGUGUGUCAGCCUGGCCACAGGUGGCCACCUCACUGAGCCCUUCCCAGCCCCAGGUCUACCCUCAGGGGAGUGCAGACUCAAGGACCCAGCUGACCCUAGGAAAGCAGGGUGCUGAUUAGCUUGUAUCCUUAACCAACAUUUCCCCACCUCAGCGCGGGCAGCGAGG
rnacentral:lncRNA from 1 species